rnacentral:rRNA from 1 species
GCAUAUCAAUAAGCGGAGGAAAAGAAACCAACAGGGAUUGCCUUAGUACGGCGAGUGAAGCGGCAAAAGCUCAAAUUUGAAAUCGGCCACCAGGUCGAGUUGUAAUUUGUAGAUUGUAUCUUGAGAGCGGAUUAAAGUCUGUUGGAACACAGCGCCUUAGAGGGUGACAGCCCCGUAAAAUCUAUUCUCAUUGUAAGAUACUUUCGAAGAGUCGAGUUGUUUGGGAAUGCAGCUCUAAGUGGGAGGUAAAUUCCUUCUAAAGCUAAAUAUUGACGAGAGACCGAUAGCGAACAAGUACUGUGAAGGAAAGAUGAAAAGCACUUUGAAAAGAGAGUGAAAAAGUACGUGAAAUUGUUAAAAGGGAAGGGUAUUGAAUCAGACUUGGUGCUGUUGUUCAACUGUGUUUCGGCAUAGUGUACUCAGCAGUACUAGGCCAAGGUGGGGUGUUUGGGAGUGAAAAAGAAGUUGGAACGUAACUCUUCGGAGUGUUAUAGCCUACUUUCAUAGCUCCUCAGGCGCCUCAAGGACUGCGCUUCGGCCAAGGCCUUGGCAUAAUGAUUCUAUACCGCCCGUCUUGAAACACGGACC